UCCUGUCAGACGAACGCUGGCGGCGUGCCUAAUACAUGCAAGUCGAGCGGACAGAAGGGAGCUUGCUCCCGGAUGUUAGCGGCGGACGGGUGAGUAACACGUGGGUAACCUGCCUGUAAGACUGGGAUAACUCCGGGAAACCGGAGCUAAUACCGGAUAGUUCCUUGAACCGCAUGGUUCAAGGAUGAAAGACGGUUUCGGCUGUCACUUACAGAUGGACCCGCGGCGCAUUAGCUAGUUGGUGGGGUAAUGGCUCACCAAGGCGACGAUGCGUAGCCGACCUGAGAGGGUGAUCGGCCACACUGGGACUGAGACACGGCCCAGACUCCUACGGGAGGCAGCAGUAGGGAAUCUUCCGCAAUGGACGAAAGUCUGACGGAGCAACGCCGCGUGAGUGAUGAAGGUUUUCGGAUCGUAAAGCUCUGUUGUUAGGGAAGAACAAGUGCGAGAGUAACUGCUCGCACCUUGACGGUACCUAACCAGAAAGCCACGGCUAACUACGUGCCAGCAGCCGCGGUAAUACGUAGGUGGCAAGCGUUGUCCGGAAUUAUUGGGCGUAAAGGGCUCGCAGGCGGUUUCUUAAGUCUGAUGUGAAAGCCCCCGGCUCAACCGGGGAGGGUCAUUGGAAACUGGGAAACUUGAGUGCAGAAGAGGAGAGUGGAAUUCCACGUGUAGCGGUGAAAUGCGUAGAGAUGUGGAGGAACACCAGUGGCGAAGGCGACUCUCUGGUCUGUAACUGACGCUGAGGAGCGAAAGCGUGGGGAGCGAACAGGAUUAGAUACCCUGGUAGUCCACGCCGUAAACGAUGAGUGCUAAGUGUUAGGGGGUUUCCGCCCCUUAGUGCUGCAGCUAACGCAUUAAGCACUCCGCCUGGGGAGUACGGUCGCAAGACUGAAACUCAAAGGAAUUGACGGGGGCCCGCACAAGCGGUGGAGCAUGUGGUUUAAUUCGAAGCAACGCGAAGAACCUUACCAGGUCUUGACAUCCUCUGACAACCCUAGAGAUAGGGCUUUCCCUUCGGGGACAGAGUGACAGGUGGUGCAUGGUUGUCGUCAGCUCGUGUCGUGAGAUGUUGGGUUAAGUCCCGCAACGAGCGCAACCCUUGAUCUUAGUUGCCAGCAUUCAGUUGGGCACUCUAAGGUGACUGCCGGUGACAAACCGGAGGAAGGUGGGGAUGACGUCAAAUCAUCAUGCCCCUUAUGACCUGGGCUACACACGUGCUACAAUGGACAGAACAAAGGGCUGCAAGACCGCAAGGUUUAGCCAAUCCCAUAAAUCUGUUCUCAGUUCGGAUCGCAGUCUGCAACUCGACUGCGUGAAGCUGGAAUCGCUAGUAAUCGCGGAUCAGCAUGCCGCGGUGAAUACGUUCCCGGGCCUUGUACACACCGCCCGUCACACCACGAGAGUUUGCAACACCCGAAGUCGGUGAGGUAACCUUUAUGGAGCCAGCCGCCGAAGGUGGGGCAGAUGAUUGGGGUGAAGUCGACCAGGGGGAACCAAAAAAACCAUACGCUCCUGAGAGGGACCUGAUGUUCUGGCAGCAGUUCCGGAGAGUUCUCCGUCUCCUAGGCCUGACAUGACCGGUGGGCCACGU
rnacentral:rRNA from 1 species